UCCUCGGUAGCGCAGUAGGUAGCGCGUCAGUCCCAUACUCUAUAUAGUAGAUCUGAAGGUCGUGAGUUUGAUCCUCACCCGGGGCA
rnacentral:tRNA from 1 species